UCCGGUGCGUAUAGCGGAGGGGAAACACCCGUUCCCAUUCCGAACACGGCCGUUAAGCCCUCCAGCGCCGAUGGUACUGCCCGGGCAACCGGGUGGGAGAGUAGGUCCGCGCCGGAA
rnacentral:rRNA from 1 species